rnacentral:rRNA from 1 species
GGGGAAUCUUCCGCAAUGGACGAAAGUCUGACGGAGCAACGCCGCGUGGGUGAUGAAGGUUUUCGGAUCGUAAAACCCUGUCAGGAAGGAAGAUAAUGACGGUACUUCCGAAGGAAGCCCCGGCUAACUACGUGCCAGCAGCCGCGGUAAUACGUAGGGGGCAAGCGUUGUCCGGAAUAACUGGGCGUAAAGAGCACGUAGGCGGUCUAUUAAGUCAGAUGUGAAAUAUCCCGGCUCAACCGGGAGGGUGCAUUUGAUACUGGUAGACUAGAGUGCAGGAGAGGAAAGUGGAAUUCCUAGUGUAGCGGUGAAAUGCGUAGAUAUUAGGAGGAACACCAGUGGCGAAGGCGACUUUCUGGACUGUAACUGACGCUGAGGUGCGAAAGCCAGGGGAGCAAAC